AUAUUUGCCUCGCAGGGGAGACACCAUGAUCACGAUGGUGGUUUUCCCACAGCGAGGCUCAUCCAUUGCACUCCGGAUGUGCUGAUCUCUGUGAUUUCCUCAAAUGCAGAAAACUUGACUGCAUAAUUUGUGGUGGUGGUGGGACUGGGUUUGCAUUUUACCC
ensembl:snRNA U1 U1 spliceosomal RNA